AGUGAACGCUGGCGGCGUGCUUAACACAUGCAAGUCGAACGAGAACGGAAUAUAGCUUGCUAUAUUUGUCAGCUAAGUGGCGCACGGGUGAGUAAUGUAUAGAUAACCUGCCCUUAAGAAAGGAAUAACAGCUGGAAACGACUGCUAAUGCCCUAUAUGCCUUUAAUACAUAAGUAUGCAAGGGAAACGCUUUAGUGCUUAAGGAUGGGUCUGUAUGGUAUCAGCUUGUUGGUGAGGUAAUGGCUCACCAAGACUAUGACGCCUAACUGGUUUGAGAGGAUGAUCAGUCACACUGGAACUGAGACACGGUCCAGACUCCUACGGGAGGCAGCAGUGGGGAAUAUUGCACAAUGGACGAAAGUCUGAUGCAGCAACGCCGCGUGGAGGAUGACACAUUUCGGUGCGUAAACUCCUUUUAUAUGGGAAGAUAAUGACGGUACUAUAUGAAUAAGCACCGGCUAACUCCGUGCCAGCAGCCGCCGUAA
rnacentral:rRNA from 1 species